rnacentral:rRNA from 1 species
UCUACGGGAGGCAGCAGUGGGGAAUAUUGCACAAUGGGGGAAACCCUGAUGCAGCGACGCCGCGUGAGUGAAGAAGUAUUUCGGUAUGUAAAGCUCUAUCAGCAGGGAAGAAGCAAGACGGUACCUGACUAAGAAGCCCCGGCUAACUACGUACCAGCAGCCGCGGUAAUCCGUAGGGGGCAAGCUUUAUCCGGAUUUACUGGGUGGAAAGGGAUCGUAGACGGUAUGGCAAGUCUGAAGUGAAAGCCCAGGGCUUAAACCUGGGACUGUGUGUGAAACUGUUAGACUAGAGUGCUGGAGAGGUAAGUGGAAUUCCUGGUGUAGCGGUGAAAUGCGUAGAUAUUAGGAGGAACACCAGUGGCGAAGGCGGCUUACUGGACAGUAACUGACGUUGAGGCUCGAAAGCGUGGGGAGCAAACAGGAUUAGAUACCCUAGUAGUC